GUAGGUGGCAAGCGUUGUCCGGAAUUAUUGGGCGUAAAGCGCGCGCAGGCGGUCCUUUAAGUCUGAUGUGAAAGCCCACGGGCUCAACCGUGGAGGGUCAUUGGAAACUGGGGGACUUGAGUACAGCAGAGGAAAGCGGAAUUCCAAGUGUAGCGGUGAAAUGCGUAGAGAUUUGGAGGAACACCAGUGGCGAAGGCGGCUUUCUGGUCUGUAACUGACGCUGAGGCGCGAAAGCGUGGGGAGCAAACAGGAUUAGAUACCCUGGUAGUCCACGCCGUAAACGAUGAGUGCUAAGUGUUAGGGGGUUUCCGCCCCUUAGUGCUGCAGCUAACGCAUUAAGCACUCCGCCUGGGGAGUACGGCCGCAAAGGCUG
rnacentral:rRNA from 1 species